GCGCUACACUGAUGCAUUCAACAAGCCUAUCCUUGACCGAAGGGUCUGGGUAAUCUUUGAAACUGCAUCGUGAUGGGGAUAGAUUAUUGCAAUUAUUAGUCUUCAACGAGGAAUGCCUAGUAAGCGCAAGUCAUCAGCUUGCGUUGAUUACGUCCCUGCCCUUUGUACACACCGCCCGUCGCUCCUACCGAUUGGGUGUGCUGGUGAAGUGUUCGGAUUGGCAGCUUAGGGUGGCAACACCUCAGGUCUGCCGAGAAGUUCAUUAAACCCUCCCACCUAGAGGAAGGAGAAGUCGUAACAAGGUUUCCGUAGGUGAACCUGCGGAAGGAUCAUUGAAUUAUUAAAACCACAAUGUGAACCUUAUUGUUCCGUGCCUUUGCUGCCGGCAAGGCAAUCAGCUUUGCCUGAUUGUACUUGCAAGCUGGUGCGAGUUUUAUACUUGCAUCAGUGGCGCUCUGGCAUGCUUAUACACCAGUGCUAACCACUGUCAAAACCAAACUCUGAAGCUUUGAUUGCUAUUAAUUGGCAAUCUUAACCAAAGACAACUCUCAACAACGGAUAUCUUGGCUCUCGCAACGAUGAAGAACGCAGCGAAAUGCGAUACGUAGUGUGAAUUGCAGAAUUCCGUGAACCAUCGAAUCUUUGAACGCAUAUUGCGCUCGAGCCCUCGGGCAAGAGCAUGUCUGCCUCAGCGUCGGUUUAUACCCUCACCCCUCUCUCCUUUUGGAGAGCUGGUUAGCUUCUAGCUGGCCUUAGGAGUGGAUCUGGCUUUCCCAUUUGGUUUAUUCUGAAUGGGUUGGCUGAAGCUUAGAGGCUUAAGCAAGGACCCGAUAUGGGCUUCAACUGGAUAGGUAGCACCGGCUUCUGCCGACUACACGAAGUUGUGGCUUGUGGACUUUGCUAGAGGCCAAGCAGGAAACAUGCUUUGCAUGUCUUAAACUUUCGACCUGAGCUCAGGCAAGGCUACCCGCUGAACUUAAGCAUAUCAAUAAGCGGAGGAAAAGAAACUAACAAGGAUGCGCUUAGUAACGGCGAGCGAACCGCGCAAAGCCCAACUUGAAAAUCUCCCUUGGAGAAUUGUAGUCUAUAGAAGUACCCUCUGUAACGGGCGCAGCUCAAGUCUCCUGGAAAGGGGCGUCAGAGAGGGUGAGAACCCCGUAAGCUGUUGCUUUGUUACCUCACGAGGUGCUUUCAAAGAGUCGGGUUGCUUGGGAAUGCAGCCCAAAUUUGGUGGUAAAUCC
rnacentral:sRNA from 1 species